rnacentral:rRNA from 1 species
CGUCCUUUCAAAUGAGAUGACUCGUGGAUUUGUUUAUCAUGUCUUGGUCAUGCGAGCUGGUGUGACCUGAUGUCAGGCGGUCAUGAUCGUAUGGUCGAUCGUAGCCGUCUUGACGAACAAACCAAAGUUCGGCACGGAUUGUGCCAAGGUGCUUUGUUAGGAUUGGUGUGUCCUCUCUUGCUUGCCUUCACAUAGGGCAACGGGCUUGGGUGCACGUGAUGUCCACCACAUUAAAAAUGACUCUCGGCAACGGAUAUCUCGGCUCUUGCAUCGAUGAAGAACGUAGCGAAAUGCGAUACUUGGUGUGAAUUGCAGAAUCCCGUGAACCAUCGAGUCUUUGAACGCAAGUUGCGCCCAAAGCCAUUCGGUUGAGGGCACGCCUGCCUGGGUGUCGUGAAUCAUUCGCCCCCUUCUCACCCCUUGCAAUGACCCAAGGGGUGGAUCGGGUGCUUAAGGUGGCCUCCCGGGGAAUCAUUUUUUAAAAGGUCAAGGUUCGCUCCCCCCCAAAAUCAACCACGGGGGUACCUCGCACCACAACAAAGGGUGAAUCGUCUCAAACAAUCUUGAAAUUUGGUCGGGUCGGGUGUUGGGCUGCUCGUGGGCUUUUGACUCGAAUGAUCUUCGAAUGCAAUCCCAGGUCAGGCGGGGCUACCCGCUGAUUUUAACCAUAUCAUUAACCGAAGAA